ACAUUACGAAUUUGAUAAUUCCAUCACAUUUUCUGUUAUAGAAACAAGCAACACGUCUCUACCAAAUGUGGCACCACCAGAACCUUCAAGGAAACUUUAAAUGUGGCAAAUGCAGUAUUUGUCCCCAUUCUGAUAAUGGAAAAAAGCAAAUACUGAACAAUUGAGGUCUAUUAAGAACAUUAAGAACUAUUAAGAACAUGGAUUUGAAAUAUCCUUUGGCCCACCACUUUCAGAAGGAACACAGUCAGGACUCAACAGACAGUAUGUCAUUCUUUGGACUAGAUAAAAUCAAUAUGUCACCGAGAGGAGCAAACACAGAAAAAGCUCCUAAGAUGUAGAGAAGCAUACUAAAUUAUUAUAAUGGACACAUGUAACUCAUGCCUGAAUUUCGACACUGAAAUGAGCCACUUUCUGUUACAUAAUCAUUUUGUCCUUUCCAAUUUUUGCUUUCAAUCUUGUAUAUUUCCAUACUUGUAAUUCAUUCUGCCAUUUGCAUCGCUUCAGGGUUUUUCUUCUCUUUUUAAUUUUCCCUUUAAGGGAUUACUUAGUCCUAUAUAAAUCAGCACUACACACAAUUCACAUGUUGCGCAUGUAAGAACAUGACUCAGUGUAAUUCCACUGGUCUAAAAUAGUGAGACAAACAAGUAUAGCGUCAAAAAACGGUAUGCAUUUAUAAUUUUUGUCAAUGUUAAUUGAGUUUAAACUUUUGUUAAUGUGUGCAACGAGAAUAAUGUAAAGUAAAAACAAGAGCGCAAAUGAGUGGAUGCUCCCUUGUUGGCCUGCAGUAAUACGAGUUGACAUGCCCCAGGCAAGAUGGCAGUUUCAUGUGCCCAUCAGCGUGAUGACGAGGUCAUGCAAAUUAAGUGCGAUCACAUCAUCAUGUUCUUACAUAAGCAGCGAUUUUUGUUUCAACGCAGUGUAAAUGCUGCAAGGAUAAUCGAAUCUAGGGAAAUUCAAUAUUGUUUCGGUAAGCACAUUUCUACAAACCCAAAACAAAGCUUGUAAAUCCAACUCUAGGUAUUUGAACUAGUAAUCCAGUUUCAUUUAAACUGUCUUAAAUGAGAAUUGCAAACUGUGCGAUUUAAUUUGCAGGAACCAAUUUGAACUAAAGGAAGGGACAGAAGAAAUUCUUUGAAUUCAAUAAAAUGGACUAAAUUCAGUUCCAGUGAACCAGCACAUAGAGUGAGUAAUACAGUCAACAUUGAAUUGUGUACAUCAGUUUAAAGUAUUAUUACAUUUUUGAUAAUUGGACCGACAUUUUGAACAAUUUGCAAUUUGAUUUUGUUUCCUUUUAGAUUUACUAUUAUCCUCCUGAUGAACCACCAAAUGCAGUUGGGGAAACACAUGUUGAGGAAUGACGAAUUAGAGGAAUGAGGAAUAAUGUAAAUUUACAAGGACUUACUCAAUAAACAUACAAAUUGGCACAAACUACGGAUUGCAAUUUCUUUAUUCACCCUGGAAUGUGUUGCCCCAAGAGAGUGGCUUCCAUCUUUAAAAGCAUCACGGUUCCAGCGGCGACCAAUGAGUUCCUGGUGGCCCUAGAAAAUCGAGGGUUGAUGGUGCAAACCUCACGCCGGGCCGUACCUAUAUCCACAGCAGGUCUUCAAGGUGAACAGCAUCUGGCAUGUUGGAACAAUGUAGGUAAGGGAAGUCGGCAUGUUCAAUCCGUAACUUCAACAUAAGGAUUAGCUAUAAGGGCCAGGUCAGUCGAGCUGUGGUGCAAAGCGGGCUGGGUGUUUGCCAUGGCUGGAUGAGGCAUCUUCCCACCUGGGGGCAGUGGCGACUCUGGAUGCUAGCCAGGCCCUUCCUCUGGAUUAUCCCAGCUGCCGUGGUCACCUGUCUCUGUUCCCCUCCCAGGGUUCUGCCCCAACAUUCUGCCUCAACCGAUGCCUAGUAGCUGAAUUAGAACCAGUGCAGACCAGGGCAACCCGACUUUUCAAUUUUAACAAAGCAUUACGAAGACCUGCAGCAGGUGUUGAGGCAGUGUGAUUUCUGGACAGUUCUCUGAAUCUCAAAGUGUACGAAUUCAAUGAAGCACGGUUAAAUGGCAGGAGUAAAUAUGACUCUCAUAAGGUAGCCAAAUGCCUUGUCAUCUAAUUAGUUAUGCACAUGAAUGAAUGAAUGAGAUCCCCACUGCCCCUACCUGCUAUCUAGCUGAACCAGAGCCAAGGGUGCAGGCUUGGCAGAAUCAGCAGGGUAUAGCGGGGAGACCCUGUUGAGCUUUACUCUAAUCCGGCAUUCUGAAGAGACGUGAGAGGUGUCGGAUAAGUGGGAGUCCCUCAGGAAGUCAGUGAAACACUACUACUCAUAUUAUUGGUUGACUUCACCAGUGAGGCUUGGGGUGAUCCCCGUGGGGCUCUCGCGUCUGGCUCCAAGUGCCUAGUGGUUGCCAGGCAUGAUCCACUCCAGGGACAGUGGCAGGUGAGGAGUUUGACUGGUGUGGUGCACCUGUCAAAGGAUAUACUGGUGCUAAGGUGGUGCAGUCUCAGCAGUGUAGUCUAUUUACCUGUUCUAUUGGUGAGAGGAGGAGCUGCUUCCAUUCCAAUCUCUUCAGAAUCCCCAUUUCAAUGCAGAACAGGUGCUGCGCUGGUGCUGAGGUGGUGCAGUCUCAGAAGUGCAGUCUGUUUACCUGUUCUAUUGGUGAGAGGAGGAGCUGCUUCCAUUCCAGUCUCUUCAAAAACCCGAUUUCAACACGUAGCAGGGCAGUCUCAAGCAGGAUCCGGCUCCCACUGCCGUGGAAAUGCCAUCUCACGAUCUUAUCACUAGACAGAAACUGAUGCAGCUGAGUGUGGAUUUUUGGUGGGCUGGAUAUGAUGAAGUAAGGGCUUGGCUACCCUCCCCCUGGGUUAAAGGACCUGUCCACUACUCCUAUAGGAUCCACCUCUUCCCCUUUUCUUCUCAUUCCAUCCCCUACUUGCAAAUUGCCCUACACUGACAUUACCACAAUGCCUGAGUCAUGCUCUGUUCAAGCUAUUCGAGUAC
rnacentral:rRNA from 1 species